UUCGCCCUUAGAGUUUGAUCCUGGCUCAGGACGAACGCUGGCGGCACGCUUAACACAUGCAAGUCGAACGAGAGAAGAGAAGCUUGCUUUUCUGAUCUAGUGGCGGACGGGUGAGUAACACGUGAGCAAUCUGCCUUUCAGAGGGGGAUACCGAUUGGAAACGAUCGUUAAUACCGCAUAAUAUAAUUGAACCGCAUGAUUUGAUUAUCAAAGAUUUAUCGCUGAAAGAUGAGCUCGCGUCUGAUUAGCUAGUUGGUAAGGUAACGGCUUACCAAGGCGACGAUCAGUAGCCGGACUGAGAGGUUGAUCGGCCACAUUGGGACUGAGACACGGCCCAGACUCCUACGGGAGGCAGCAGUGGGGAAUAUUGCACAAUGGAGGAAACUCUGAUGCAGCGAUGCCGCGUGAGGGAAGAAGGUUUUAGGAUUGUAAACCUCUGUCUUCAGGGACGAAAAAAGACGGUACCUGAGGAGGAAGCUCCGGCUAACUACGUGCCAGCAGCCGCGGUAAUACGUAGGGAGCGAGCGUUGUCCGGAAUUACUGGGUGUAAAGGGAGCGUAGGCGGGAUCGCAAGUCAGAUGUGAAAACUAUGGGCUUAACCCAUAAACUGCAUUUGGAACUGUGGUUCUUGAGUGAAGUAGAGGUAAGCGGAAUUCCUAGUGUAGCGGUGAAAUGCGUAGAUAUUAGGAGGAACAUCAGUGGCGAAGGCGGCUUACUGGGCUUUAACUGACGCUGAGGCUCGAAAGCGUGGGGAGCAAACAGGAUUAGAUACCCUGGUAGUCCACGCCGUAAACGAUGAUUACUAGGUGUGGGGGGACUGACCCUUUCCAGUGCCGCAGCAAACGCAAUAAGUAAUCCACCUGGGGAGUACGACCGCAAGGUUGAAACUCAAAAGGAAUUGACGGGGGCCCGCACAAGCAGUGGAGUAUGUGGAUUAAUUCGAAGCAACGCGAAGAACCUUACCAGGUCUUGACAUCGUAUGCAUAGCUCAGAGAUGAGUGAAAUCUCUUCGGAGACAUAUAGACAGGUGGUGCAUGGUUGUCGUCAGCUCGUGUCGUGAGAUGUUGGGUUAAGUCCCGCAACGAGCGCAACCCUUACUGUUAGUUGCUACGCAAGAGCACUCUAGCAGGACUGCCGUUGACAAAACGGAGGAAGGUGGGGAUGACGUCAAAUCAUCAUGCCCCUUAUGACCUGGGCCUCACACGUACUACAAUGGCUGUUAACAGAGGGAUGCAAAGCCGCGAGGUGGAGCGAACCCCUAAAAGCAGUCUUAGUUCGGAUUGUAGGCUGCAACCCGCCUACAUGAAGUCGGAAUUGCUAGUAAUCGCAGAUCAGCAUGCUGCGGUGAAUACGUUCCCGGGCCUUGCACACACCGCCCGUCA
rnacentral:rRNA from 1 species